rnacentral:misc_RNA from 1 species
GAGGGUGAGCCUGAUUACCAUAUCAAA